UCGAUUGGAAAUCAUAAUUGCAUUCGCUCUCAGAUAAAGAGAAUCCCUCGACGUUCUAUCGCUCCUGAGGCAACACACCACAGGGAUAAAGGACCACAACUUGUUCUAUGAAGGAAGUCAUCAAAGACUGGACAUUUGCGAGUAAUAUACUCGGAAGCGGUGUGCGUGCCUCUGAAGUCUGACCAGAAGACCACUCCGUCUACCUCUUCUCCGCUGGUGUUAUUUUGGGUCAGCCUCUGGAAUCAGUUCAAAUGCCCUGGGGGGUUAGGACAAAGGAUCUGCUUCGGGAAAGUCGCAUUCCUGGUCGUAGUGCUGGCCCACCCCUCCCCCCGUGUCAUCGAUGGCCAUCCGGCGUACACAGUGAGAAGCCUCCUGAGUGAUCGACCACGGGGCAAGGGUUUCCAGUACCUGGUUGACUGGGAGGGUUAUGGUCCAGACAAGAAGUGUUGGGUCCCCGCUAGAGACAUCCUGGACCCAGCCCUCAUUGCCGACUUCCACCGCCGGCACCCCGGGCAGCCAGGUUUUGACCGUUGCCUGUCCUGACUUUGAGCCCGGCUGCCUGACCACUCUGCCUACCCUGAACUUGCCUGCCGUCCGGUACCGUUGCCCCCACCUCUGGUUUACUGACCCCUGCCUGCCUUGACCCGUCUAUUGCCUGCCUCGGUCGGAUUAUUAUUACACCAUUGUUAAUUCGACGUUGUCUGCAUCUGGGUCUUACCUUCAUACCUGAUAGGAACUCCUUCAAGACUGUUGGAAAAGCAAUCUAGGUGAAGCUGGUUAAGAGAAUGCCAAGUAGUGGGGAAAGCUGUCAUCAAGGCAAAGAGUGGCUACAUUGAAGAAUCUCAAAUAGAAAAUAUAAUUUGAUUGUUUUAACACUUUUUUGGUGAUUUCAUAGUUUUGAUGUCUUCACUAUUAAAGAAAUAUAAAGAAAAACCCUUGAAUGUGUAGGUGUGUCAACUUUGUGGUCAAGUCAUUGAAUACUCUUUCCACUCCUGCGUUGUUUCCGAUAGAUUUAUGUAUCCUUAUCAAAACAAAUCAGGAUAACAUCCCUCAUCUUGACAGCACAUGGCAUACUGGAGACUUUCAAAUGACUUUGAUCCAGAUGGCCUCUUCUCCCUCUGCCUGUUGGUUGCGAGGGGCCUCACAAAUCUCAUUGUAUUAACUGUCACUGGGCUCAGAAAGAAGAGGAUGGAGUGUCCAAUGCCUUUUUAUGUACUCACUCACUGGGUGAGUACAUAAAAAAAGCCACAUGCUGGAAGAAACUAUCAGGUUUUGUGUACCUGGCAUGUAAUUGUUUAGAAGGUGUCUCAUGGUAAUGAUUUGGUGUAGUUUUUUCUUUGGCUUGACAUAGUAUUACAAUUGUAAUGGCGUUCUUCGUUUGUCGCAAGAAAGUCGGACCGAAAUGCAGCGUGUUGGUUACUCAUGUUUUUUUAAAUGAAAACAAAUGACGAUUACAUGAAAAUACUGAGACAAAUACAAAACAACAAAACGGAACGUGAAACCUAAAUACAGCCUAUCUGGUGAAACGACACAGAGACAGGAACAAUCACCCACGAAAUAUACAGUGAAACCCUGGCUACCUAAAUACGGUUCCCCAUCAGAGACAACAAGAAUCGGGCGGGCUGUAUCACCGCCUGGUACGGCAACUGCUCCCGCCCUCAACCGUAAGGCUCUCCAGAGGGUAGUGAGGUCUGCACAACACAUCACCGGGGGCAAACUACCUGCCCUCCAGGACACCUACACCACCCGAUGUUACAGGAAGGCCAUAAAGAUCAUCAAGGACAUCAACCACCCGAGCCACUGCCUGUUCACCCCGCUAUCAUCCAGAAGGCGAGGUCAGUACAGGUGCAUCAAAGCUAGGACCGAGAGACUGAAAAACAGCUUCUAUCUCAAGGCCAUCAGACUGUAAAACAGCCACCACUAACAUUGAGUGGCUGCUGCCAACACACUGACACUGACUCAACUCCAGCCACUUUAAUAAUGGGAAUUGAUGGGAAAUGAUGUAAAUAUAUCACUAGCCACUUUAAACAAUGCUACCUUAUAUAAUGUUACUUACCCUACAUUAUUCAUCUCAUAUGCAUACGUAUAUACUGUACUCUAUAUCAUCGACUGCAUCCUUAUGUAAUACAUGUAUCACUAGCCACUUUAACUAUGCCACUUUGUUUACAUACUCAUCUCAU